UACGUAGGGGGCUAGCGUUGUCCGGAAUCAUUGGGCGUAAAGCGCGUGUAGGCGGCCCGGUAAGUCCGCUGUGAAAGUCGGGGGCUCAACCCUCGAAAGCCGGUGGAUACUGUCGGGCUCGAGUACGGAAGAGGCGAGUGGAAUUCCUGGUGUAGCGGUGAAAUGCGCAGAUAUCAGGAGGAACACCGGUGGCGAAGGCGGAUCUCUGGGCCUUACCUGACGCUCAGGUGCGAAAGCUAGGGGAGCGAACAGG
rnacentral:rRNA from 1 species